ensembl:lncRNA novel transcript
CAGAUUUUCAGUGCCUCACUUAUACUAGGAAACAAAAACAGCUAGAGCUGUUAUGAAUUCAACUUUACUUCUCAUCUACAUGAGGCUGUACAAGAAGCACAGCAGCUUCUGCUUCUGGGGAGCCCUCAGGAAACUUACAAUCAUGGCGGAAGGUGAAAGCCCGAACUCUCAUCUUGAUCGCGAUACAAAAUAAAUAUUGGCUCUAUCAGAACAA